GACGAACCGUGCGAACGUUAUUCGGAAUCACUGGGCUUAAAGCGCGUGUAGGCGGGCCGCCGCGUCGGCUGCUGAAAUCCCCCGGCUCAACCGGGGAACGGGCACCGAUACGGGCGGCCUCGAGGGGGGUAGGGGGGACUGGAACUUCCGGUGGAGCGGUGAAAUGCGUUGAGAUCGGAAGGAACGCCCGUGGCGAAAGCGAGUCCCUGGACCCUUUCUGACGCUGAGACGCGAAAGCGUGGGGAGCAAACAGG
rnacentral:rRNA from 1 species